GACGAACGCUGGCGGCGUGCCUAAUACAUGCAAGUCGAGCGAACAGAGAAGGAGCUUGCUCCUUUGACGUUAGCGGCGGACGGGUGAGUAACACAUGGGCAACCUACCUUAUAGUUUGGGAUAACUCCGGGAAACCGGGGCUAAUACCGAAUAAUCUGUUCCACCUCAUGGUGGAACACUGAAAGACGGUUUCGGCUGUCGCUAUAAGAUGGGCCCGCGGCGCAUUAGCUAGUUGGUGAGGUAACGGCUCACCAAGGCGACGAUGCGUAGCCGACCUGAGAGGGUGAUCGGCCACACUGGGACUGAGACGCGGCCCAGACUCCUACGGGAGGCAGCAGUAGGGAAUCUUCCACAAUGGGCGAAAGCCUGAUGGAGCAACGCCGCGUGAGUGAAGAAGGUUUUCGGAUCGUAAAACUCUGUUGUAAGGGAAGAACAAGUACAGUAGUAACUGGCUGUACCUUGACGGUACCUUAUUAGAAAGCCACGGCUAACUACGUGCCAGCAGCCGCGGUAAUACGUAGGUGGCAAGCGUUGUCCGGAAUUAUUGGGCGUAAAGCGCGCGCAGGCGGUCCUUUAAGUCUGAUGUGAAAGCCCACGGCUCAACCGUGGAGGGUCAUUGGAAACUGGGGGACUUGAGUGCAGAAGAGGAAAGUGGAAUUCCAAGUGUAGCGGUGAAAUGCGUAGAGAUUUGGAGGAACACCAGUGGCGAAGGCGACUUUCUGGUCUGUAA
rnacentral:rRNA from 1 species